rnacentral:tRNA from 1 species
GCCAGAGUAACUCAGUUGGUAGAGUAGGGGUUUUGUAAACCUCAAGUCGUUGGUUCAAGUCCAAUCUCUGGCU